AUUGAACGCUGGCGGCAGGCCUAACACAUGCAAGUCGAACGGUAGCACAGAGAGCUUGCUCUCGGGUGACGAGUGGCGGACGGGUGAGUAACGUCUGGGAAACUGCCCGAUGGAGGGAGAUAACUACUGGAAACGGUAGCUAAUACCGCAUAACGUCGCAAGACCAAAGUGGGGGACCUUCGGGCCUCACACCAUCGGAUGUGCCCAGAUGGGAUUAGCUAGUAGGUGGGGUAAUGGCUCACCUAGGCGACGAUCCCUAGCUGGUCUGAGAGGAUGACCAGCCACACUGGAACUGAGACACGGUCCAGGCUCCUACGGGAGGCAGCAGUGGGGAAUAUUGCACAAUGGGCGCAAGCCUGAUGCAGCCAUGCCGCGUGUAUGAAGAAGGCCUUCGGGUUGUAAAGUACUUUCAGCGGGGAGGAAGGCGGUGAAGUUAAUAGCUUCACCGAUUGACGUUACCCGCAGAAGAAGCACCGGCUAACUCCGUGCCAGCAGCCGCCGUAAAAC
rnacentral:rRNA from 1 species